UAGCUCAGUGGUAGAGUGCUUGCCUUGCAUGCAUGAGGCCCUGGGUUCGAUUCCUGA
rnacentral:tRNA from 1 species